CUGCCAACCUGCACAGCAUGUUAUUGUACUGAACAAUGUAGGCAAUGUAACGCAAUGAUAUUUGUGUAUCUAAACAUACCUAAAUGCAGAAAUGCUGCAGUAGAUAUACAACAUAAAAGAUUGUUUUUAAGUCCACCUGUAGAAGGCACUUACCAUGAAUUGAACUUGCAGGCUUGGAAAUAUCUCUGGGUUCUGCUUGAAUUCUUGCCCUGGCUCUUGGUGAAGGAUCGGCCUGCUGGAUCUGAGUCAUCCACCUAUAAGAGGGACAACACCACACAUUGGUCGCUGCUCUCAAGCCCCUGGAAUACCACCCCACUUGGCUUCUCCUGGUAACAGUGGCUGCCUUUGCUUGCCUGUCUCCAACUCCUCCCAAGAGCAUUGCUGACUGGAGCCAGCUGCCAUGUCAUGCAGACACUCAAGCAGCCCUAUGGAGAAGCCACAUGGAGAGGGGCUGAGGCCUGUUUCCCACAGCCAUGUGAGUGGGCCAUUCCGGAAGCAGAUCAUCCAGCCCUCGCCAAGCUGACAGACGACUGCAUCCCCAGCCAACAUCUAGACUGGAGCCUCACGAGAGACCAACCCGGAGACCCCACCCAG
rnacentral:lncRNA from 1 species